ACAAAUCGCUUAACCGUACUGAUCUAACCAGCUACUCAGUCAGAACAACCUUCUACUAUCACGAAAUGUUCCCUAAUACAACAACUGAGCUACCAUCUACGAGAACUUCUCUCUAACUUCAAUGUAACCAUCAUCAUCCGUUACAACCACCAGUGAGUAAUAAAUCAACAGACAUUGAGUAAUAUCUCCAACUACUGAAUCAUCUGAUACAGUGGCAUUGAACCACCACUGACAACAAUAUCGAAAACAGAAACUGUACAAGUAUCUACAACCAGAGGAUGUGAAAUGGUAGACCCACAUACGACCACUGUAUAAAUAACUCUAGAAUUGCCAUAAAAUGCAAGAACACUAUCUACAAUGGAUUUCGCAGUACA